CAUAAGCAUAGACCUUUAGCUUGAUGCCUUCAUGAGAUAAAGGGGAAACUGGAGCUUGGAACUUGAUUUCAUCCACAGGAACGGCUGGAAAAUCAUCUUCAAUCAUUUCACCUGGAAGUCUCCCAAGAGGACAUGAGUAUCCUGUUAAGACAUCCUUUUAUGUUUUCAGUAGCUUUGCAGUUUUGUCUUUGAGUUGCUCAAGGCAAGAAGACCCGGUGCCAGCAAGACUGAAACAAAAAAGCAAAAGAGGUGAGCAUGGAAGAG
rnacentral:lncRNA from 1 species